rnacentral:rRNA from 1 species
UGCGGUAUUUUAACUGUACUAAGCUAUUAUAAUAAUUUGCCUUAUAAUUUGAGGCUAGAAUGAAUGGUUUGACGAAGGUUAAUCUGUCUCUAUUUUAUUUUUUAGAAAUUAAUUUUUAGAGUGAAAAAGCUUGUAUUUUUUAAAGGGACGAGAAGACCCUAUUGAGCUUGUAAUUUUAUUACUAUUGUUAAUAUUAUUUGAGUGGUAUAUAAAUUUUAAUUGGGGUGAUUAAGGAAUAAAAUGAUUUUUAGGAACUUCCUUAUAUUUAAUAUUGUUAGAUAAAGUAACCAAUAUAUUAUUGCUUAUAUUAUAGUUACCAUAGGGAUAACAGCGUAAUUUGUUAGAGAGUUCUUAUUGAAAAACAAGAUUGCGACCUCGAUGUUGGAUUAAAGUAACCUUAA